rnacentral:rRNA from 1 species
GCCAGACUCCUACGGGAGGCAGCAGUGGGGAAUAUUGCACAAUGGGGGGAACCCUGAUGCAGCGACGCCGCGUGUGGGAAGACGGUCCUCUGGAUUGUAAACCACUUUCCCCAGGGACGAAGAUGACGGUACCUGGGGAGGAAGCUCCGGCUAACUCCGUGCCAGCAGCCGCGGUAAUACGGAGGGUGCGAGCGUUAAUCGGAAUUACUGGGCGUAAAGCGCUCGUAGGCGGUAUGUCAAGUCAAGGGUGAAAUCCCCGCGCUCAACGUGGGAACUGCCUUUGAAACUGGCAAACUGGAGUGUGUGAGAGGAUAGUGGAAUUCCAGGUGUAGGAGUGAAAUCCGUAGAUAUCUGGAGGAACAUCAGUGGCGAAGGCGACUAUCUGGCGCAUAACUGACGCUGAGGAGCGAAAGCGUGGGUAGCAAACAGGAUUAGAUACCCUAGUACA